rnacentral:rRNA from 1 species
AACGAACGCUGGCGGCAUGCCUAACACAUGCAGGUCGAACGAUCCCUUCGGGGAUAGUGGCGCACGGGUGCGUAACGCGUGGGAACCUGCCCUUAGGUUCGGAAUAACUCAGAGAAAUUUGAGCUAAUACCGGAUAAUGUCUUCGGACCAAAGAUUUAUCGCCUUUGGAUGGGCCCGCGUUGGAUUAGCUAGUUGGUGGGGUAAAGGCCUACCAAGGCGACGAUCCAUAGCUGGUCUGAGAGGAUGAUCAGCCACACUGGGACUGAGACACGGCCCAGACUCCUACGGGAGGCAGCAGUGGGGAAUAUUGGACAAUGGGCGAAAGCCUGAUCCAGCAAUGCCGCGUGAGUGAUGAAGGCCUUAGGGUUGUAAAGCUCUUUUACCCGGGAUGAUAAUGACAGUACCGGGAGAAUAAGCCCCGGCUAACUCCGUG